GAUUAAAUGGCUGAUAAUAAGCAAUAGACUGUAAAUCUAUUUAUAAGAAUAAAUUCUUUUUAAUCA
rnacentral:tRNA from 1 species